rnacentral:rRNA from 1 species
AUUGAACGCUGGCGGCAUGCCUUACACAUGCAAGUCGAACGGUAACAGGUUAAGCUGACGAGUGGCGAACGGGUGAGUAAUGUAUCGGAACGUGCCCAGUCGUGGGGGAUAACUGCUCGAAAGAGCAGCUAAUACCGCAUACGACCUGAGGGUGAAAGCGGAGGAUCGCAAGACCUCGCGCGAUUGGAGCGGCCGAUAUCAGAUUAGGUAGUUGGUGAGGUAAAGGCUCACCAAGCCGACGAUCUGUAGCUGGUCUGAGAGGACGACCAGCCACACUGGGACUGAGACGCGGCCCAGACUCCUACGGGAGGCAGCAGUGGGGAAUUUUGGACAAUGGGCGCAAGCCUGAUCCAGCCAUGCCGCGUGCGGGAAGAAGGCCUUCGGGUUGUAAACCGCUUUUGUCAGGGAAGAAAAGGUUCUGGCUAAUACCUGGGACUCAUGACGGUACCUGAAGAAUAAGCACCGGCUAACUACGUG